GGUUUUUAGUUUUAUUUGAGGAUUUGCUCUGCUCAAUGAAUGUUUAAAUAGUUGCGGUAGGUUGACUGUGCUAAGGUAGCAUAAUAAUUAGUUUAUUAAUUGUGAACUGGAAUGAAGGGGCUGAUGGGGGGCUUGCUAUCUAUGUGUUAUAUAGUUUGAAUUUGACGUUUGUGUUAGAAGGCGUAUUUGAUUUUAAGGGACGAUAAGACCCUAUAGAAUUUUAUGUUUUAUUUAAAUUUAGUAGGGUUUAUUUUUCUUUGUUUAUAGGGGGAUAUUUAGUUGGGGUGAUUGGAAUAGGAUUUAAACUUUUUAUUAAUUUAUUCAAUUGUGUUUGAUUAGUUGACUUGAAUUUAGGUGUAAGAUUAAAUUACCUUAGGGAUAACAGCAUUAUUUUCUUGGAGAGUUCUAAUCAAUAGGGGAGUUUGUGACCUCGAUGUUGGAUUAAGGUUUCUUUUGGGUGAAGUGGUUUUGUGAGUUAGUCUGUUCGACUAUAAAAUCUAACA
rnacentral:rRNA from 1 species